rnacentral:rRNA from 1 species
UGACCGUGCGAAGGUAGCAUAAUCAUUAGUCUUUUAAUUGAAGGCUUGUAUGAAUGGUUGGACGAGAAGUAAUCUGUCUCUAUUGAAAAAAUUGAAUUUAACUUUUGAGUGAGAAGGCUUAAAUGAUCUAGAGGGACGAUAAGACCCUAUAAAGUUUAACAUUAUAAUAACAAAAAGUUGAUUGGGUAGGAGAACUUAUUACUGUAAAUAGUGUUUUGUUGGGGCGACAAGAAUAUAAAUAAUUUAACUGUUCUUUUUUGUAUCAAAGAUAUUUGAGUUAAUGAUCUUUUUAAGAGUAUUAGAGUAAAUUACUUUAGGGAUAACAGCGUAAUUUUUUUUGAGAGUUCUUAUCGACAAAAGAGUUUGCGACCUCGAUGUUGAAUUAAAGAUUCUUUAUAAUGCAGAAGUUAUAUAAGAAGGUCUGUUCGACCUUUAAAUCUUUACAUGAUUUGAGUUCAGACCGGUGUGAGCCAGGUUGGUUUCUAUCUA